GCUGGGCAUGGUGGCGCGUGCCUGUAAUCCCAGCUACUCGGGAGGCUGAGGCAGGAGAAUUGCUUGAACCCAGGAGGCGGAGGUUGCGGUGAGCCGAGAUCAUGCCAUUGCACUCCAGCCUGGGUAACAAGAGCGAAACUCUGUCUCAAAAAAAAAAAAAGAAAAAAGAAAAAAAGAACAGAAAAUUCUAAAAUAUUUUUUUUGGUUUUUUUUUGAGACAGAGUCUCACUCUGUCACCAGGGUGGAGUGCAGUGUUGUGAUCUCGGCUCACUGCAACCUCCACUUCCCGGGUUCAAGCAAUUCUCUUGGCUCAA
rnacentral:SRP_RNA from 13 species